UCUCCUGGAAAACGGGUGGUAAUACCGGAUGCUCCGCUCCAUCGCAUGGUGGGGUGGGAAAUGCUUUUGCGGCAUGGGAUGGGGUCGCGUCCUAUCAGCUUGUUGGCGGGGUGAUGGCCCACCAAGGCGUUGACGGGUAGCCGGCCUGAGAGGGUGACCGGCCACAUUGGGACUGAGAUACGGCCCAGACUCCUACGGGAGGCAGCAGUGGGGAAUAUUGCACAAUGGGCGCAAGCCUGAUGCAGCGACGCCGCGUGCGGGAUGGAGGCCUUCGGGUUGUAAACCGCUUUUGUUCAAGGGCAAGGCACGGUUUCGGCCGUGUUGAGUGGAUUGUUCGAAUAAGCACCGGCUAACUACGUGCCAGCAGCCGCGGUAAUACGUAGGGUGCGAGCGUUAUCCGGAUUUAUUGGGCGUAAAGGGCUCGUAGGCGGUUCGUCGCGUCCGGUGUGAAAGUCCAUCGCCUAACGGUGGAUCUGCGCCGGGUACGGGCGGGCUGGAGUGCGGUAGGGGAGACUGGAAUUCCCGGUGUAACGGUGGAAUGUGUAGAUAUCGG
rnacentral:rRNA from 1 species